GAACGCUGACAGAAUGCUUAACACAUGCAAGUAACUUGAAUUUGGGUUUUUUAACUUAGAUUUGGGUGGCGGACGGGUGAGUAACGCGUAAAGAACUUGCCUCACAGCUAGGGACAACAUUUGGAAACGAAUGCUAAUACCUGAUAUUAUGAUUUUAAGGCAUCUUAGAAUUAUGAAAGCUAUACGCGCUGUGAGAGAGCUUUGCGUCCCAUUAGCUAGUUGGAGAGGUAACGGCUCACCAAGGCGAUGAUGGGUAGCCGGCCUGAGAGGGUGAACGGCCACAAGGGGACUGAGACACGGCCCUUACUCCUACGGGAGGCAGCAGUGGGGAAUAUUGGACAAUGGACCAAGAGUCUGAUCCAGCAAUUCUGUGUGCACGAUGACGUUUUUCGGAAUGUAAAGUGCUUUCAGUUGGGAAGAAAAAAAUGACGGUACCAACAGAAGAAGUGACGGCUAAAUACGUGCCAGCAGCCGCGGUAAUACGUAUGUCACGAGCGUUAUCCGGAUUUAUUGGGCGUAAAGCGCGUCUAGGCGGUUAUGUAAGUCUGAUGUGAAAAUGCAGGGCUCAACCCUGUAUUGCGUUGGAAACUGUGUAACUAGAGUACUGGAGAGGUAAGCGGAACUACAAGUGUAGAGGUGAAAUUCGUAGAUAUUUGUAGGAAUGCCGAUGGGGAAGCCAGCUUACUGGACAGAUACUGACGCUGAAGCGCGAAAGCGUGGGUAGCAAACAGGAUUAGAUACCCUGGUAGUCCACGCCGUAAACGAUGAUUACUAGGUGUUGGGGGUCGAACCUCAGCGCCCAAGCAAACGCGAUAAGUAAUCCG
rnacentral:rRNA from 1 species